UACGGAGGGUGCGAGCGUUGUCCGGAAUCAUUGGGCGUAAAGGGCGCGUAGGUGGCCUUCUAAGUCGAACGUGAAAUCCCUGGGCUCAACCCAGGAACUGCGUCCGAGACUGGGAGGCUUGAAUCCGGGAGAGGGAUGCGGAAUUCCAGGUGUAGCGGUGAAAUGCGUAGAUAUCUGGAGGAACACCGGUGGCGAAGGCGGCAUCCUGGACCGGUAUUGACACUGAGGCGCGAAAGCCAGGGGAGCAAACGGG
rnacentral:rRNA from 1 species